UUAUGUUUUAGUGUAUGGUGCACAAGAAAUUUUGAUUUUCUUAGAUUUGGUUUAAUUCCAUAAAACAUAAU
rnacentral:tRNA from 1 species